UACGGAGGGUGCGAGCGUUGUCCGGAUUUAUUGGGUUUAAAGGGUGCGUAGGCGGCCCGUUAAGUCCGGGGUGAAAGCCCGUUGCUCAACAACGGAACUGCCCUGGAUACUGACGGGCUUGAGUACAGACGAGGUUGGCGGAAUGGACCGAGUAGCGGUGAAAUGCAUAGAUACGGUCCAGAACCCCGAUUGCGAAGGCAGCUGACUAGGCUGUUACUGACGCUGAGGCACGACAGCGUGGGGAGCGGACAGG
rnacentral:rRNA from 1 species